CCCUGAGUCUUAGAUAUUUCAUCUGUCAAGAAGGGAUAUUAAUAAUACCAACAUCACAGUAUCAAAUGAAAUACUAAGUAUGAAAAGGCUACACAAAGCAAAGCACUAAACGUAUAUUAUUGCAACACCAGUAAAAUGAGAAUAAAUACCUUGUUUCUGUGAAUUUUCAGUGAGGUGGCAUGUAAUACGCCUGGUUCAGGACCUCAUACUUAGUACAGGCUCAAAAGAGAUCAAAAGUUAACAUGGACAAAGUGAAACAAACUGGAGAUGGGAGAUGGAGAAAUGUUGAAACAACAGCCACCACCACAACACGAGGUUUUCAAUCCAUCUACAAACAGAGCUUCUGUUCAGGAUGUCCAUGGGAAAACACAUGGGUGCACAUACAGAUGGCCAAAAGGGCUUGAAGAAAAGG